rnacentral:misc_RNA from 1 species
GUGGUAAUUCUUUCCAAUGU